UGUAAAUAAAGUUCUUAUAAUCAUUAUGGCACACUAAAUUUUGAAUUAUAUUUUCUGUUACCGUGAUAUUUUUAUUAUUUUGUUUAAGAAGAAUAUGCUUCUGUGAUAUUAUAAGAUUAACUGUGGCUCUAUUUUCAACACGAGUUGUAUCUAAUGUAGACUCUGGAGCAUCAUGAUUUGGUGUGCACAGAUCAAUUACAUUUGGGACAAAUACAACGUAAUCAUCUUCGUCAGUUAAGAAGUUUGCAGAUGUGGGAGAUAUAUCUGAAAUAUUAACUAAUCCGUCAUUCAGUUGAUCGAAGGACAAAUCUCUUCCUGAAUUAUGCUCGAUAUUUAACGGGACAUUGGGGACGUCGAAUAUUUUGUCUUAUUCCAAUUGGUGAUGCUAGACGCUGUUCCUGUCGACUAAGUGGUCGUAACUGUUCCUCUCGA